rnacentral:rRNA from 1 species
UGGGGAAUUUUGCACAAUGGGCGAAAGCCUGAUGCAGCGACGCCGCGUGAGUGAUGAAGGUCUUCGGGUUGUAAAGCUCUGUGGAGAGGGACGAAUAAGUGCUGGCUAAUAUGCAGUGUCAUGACGGUACCUCCUUAACAAGCACCGGCUAAAACUGUG